rnacentral:rRNA from 1 species
UUGCUCUGUAACGGAGUUGGCAACGCACAUUGCUCAACGAUCAAUGAGAACAGCGUCGAUCUGCACUCACUGCUUGAUUUCAAGAAGGGCAUCGCUAGCGAUCCUCAGAGAGCAUUGAGUAACUGGAACAACACAACCCACUUAUGUUGCUAGAAUGGUGUCAACUGCACCUCCACGGCACCACCGUUCAACGUCUCAUCACUUGUUCUUGCUAGCCAAAACUUAGCAGGCCAAAUUAGCUCCUCUCUAGGAAACCUAACUUUCCUCUUGACCUUUCGGGGAACUACUUUGUUGGCCUCAUAG